rnacentral:lncRNA from 1 species
CUGGAGCAAAUACGAGAUUGGCGCCCUUCCAGAGAGAGGGCAUGCCACCGCUGAGUUUCCGCCAGCCGGCGUCGUUCGCUGGUUGCAUGCUGCCGACGGGGCCGGCGCUUCGUGGCGUCGACGCGAACGAAUAAUCCGUACAUGGCAGUCUCGUACAACUAUGCUGCGCCGGUGCAGGUUCAUAUCGUGAUUUGCCAGACCAUGUUUCUCUCGCGUUUCCUAUGAGAGUCGUGCUUUGAAGGCGUGGGUGCUGGGCACGAGUCUUUCUCGGUGAAUAUGCGGAGGGGAACCUGGACCUCAGGAAACCCAGUUGACGUGUAGCCGUACAAUUCUGGCCGAUCCCUGCAAGUCACCGUGGACAAGCAGUAUCCUUUUCAAUGACGAUACUCAGUUUCGCACCUCAUGACGGAUUUUACAUUGGUGGCCAUCAUACUUUCUCCAGUGUGUGAUGUUUGCUGCUCACGGUGCCAAGCGACACACGAUGAUCAACUACUGCCAUCACAUUCAUUCGCUCCCGAUGACAUGGUCACAGGAAGAGCUCCCGUUUUAGGACUGUGGCCUCUAGCUGGAUCUCAAAUAUGACGUAAAGAGUGACUAUUCGGACGACCAGUUGCCAAUAACCAGAGAACGAUGUCCGGCACCAAGUGUUUGCUUAGCACUUCAGGGACACGUCGUUGUCCGCGGGUAGUCAACACCAGCAGAAUCAUACUCCCAGCCCCGUGCCUUGCAAUAGG